AGGAUUCUUCUUUGGAUGCCGAAAGCAAGGUUCAGCAUAGUCUAAGUCAUCAUCACAAGUGCAUCCCGGGCGGCACAUCUCUAGGGCAACAUCCCAGACGAAGUGUCCUUUGACCUGGGCAGCGUAGAUCUGGUGUCUAGAGGACUGGAAUGAAUGAAUAAGGAUCUUUUCCCUUGGCCUUGAUAUUGGUUGUAUCAUGGAUGCUUGAAAGAUGGAUGGAGCUGAAGAAGUUUCUCCAGUCUUUGUGAAG
rnacentral:lncRNA from 1 species